AGAGUUUGAUCCUGGCUCAGGAUGAACGCUGGCGGCGUGCUUAACACAUGCAAGUCGAACGAACCUUCGGGUUAGUGGCGGACGGGUGAGUAACGCGUGAGAAUCUGCCCUCAGGAGGGGGAUAACAGUUGGAAACGACUGCUAAUACCCCAUAUGCCGAGAGGUGAAAUGAAUUUCGCCUGGGGAUGAGCUCGCGUCUGAUUAGCUUGUUGGUGGGGUAAUAGCCUACCAAGGCUUCGAUCAGUAGCUGGUCUGAGAGGACGAUCAGCCACACUGGGACUGAGACACGGCCCAGACUCCUACGGGAGGCAGCAGUGGGGAAUUUUCCGCAAUGGGCGAAAGCCUGGCGGAGCAACGCCGCGUGAGGGAUGGAGGCCUUUGGGCUGUAAACCUCUUUUCUCAAGGAAGAAGAUCUGACGGUACUUGAGGAAUAAGCCACGGCUAAUUCCGUGCCAGCAGCCGCGGUAAUACGGGAGUGGCAAGCGUUAUCCGGAAUUAUUGGGCGUAAAGCGCCCGCAGGCGGCCGUUUAAGUCUGUUGUUAAAUCGUGGAGCUCAACUCCAUCACGGCAAUGGAAACUGUUCGGCUUGAGUAUGGUAGGGGCAGAGGGAAUUUCCGGUGUAGCGGUGAAAUGCGUAGAUAUCGGGAAGAACACCAGUGGCGAAAGCGCUCUGCUGGGCCAUUACUGACGCUCAUGGACGAAAGCCAGGGGAGCGAAAGGGAUUAGAUACCCCUGUAGUCCUGGCCGUAAACGAUGAACACUAGAUGUUGGGGGAAUCGACCCCCUCGGUGUCGUAGCUAACGCGUUAAGUGUUCCGCCUGGGGAGUACGCACGCAAGUGUGAAACUCAAAGGAAUUGACGGGGGCCCGCACAAGCGGUGGGGUAUGUGGUUUAAUUCGAUGCAACGCGAAGAACCUUACCAAGGCUUGACAUCCUGCGAAUCUCUAAGAGAUUAGAGAGUGCCUUCGGGAACGCAGUGACAGGUGGUGCAUGGCUGUCGUCAGCUCGUGUCGUGAGAUGUUGGGUUAAGUCCCGCAACGAGCGCAACCCACGUUUUUAGUUGCCAGCAUUCAGUUGGGCACUCUAGAAAGACUGCCGGUGACAAACCGGAGGAAGGUGUGGACGACGUCAAGUCAUCAUGCCCCUUACGCCUUGGGCUACACACGUACUACAAUGCUGCGGACAAAGAGUAGCGAUCUUGCGAAAGUUAGCUAAUCUCAUAAACCGUGGCUCAGUUCAGAUCGUAGGCUGCAACUCGCCUACGUGAAGGAGGAAUCGCUAGUAAUCGCAGGUCAGCAUACUGCGGUGAAUACGUUCCCGAGCCUUGUACACACCGCCCGUCACACCAUGGAAGUUGGCCAUGCCCGAAGUCGUUACUCUAACCUUUUGGAAGAGGGCGCCGAAGGCAGGGCUAAUGACUGGGGUGAAGUCGUAACAAGGUAACC
rnacentral:rRNA from 1 species